UACGUAGGAGGCAAGCGUUGUCCGGAAUUACUGGGCGUAAAGCGCGUGUAGGUGGUGGGACAAGUCUGCUGUGAAAGCGCCUGGCUUAACCGGGCGAGGUCGGCGGAAACUGUCCGACUCGAGGACGGUAGAGGGGGGUGGAAUUCCCGGUGUAGAGGUGAAAUGCGCAGAUAUCAGGAGGAACACCAAUUGCGAAGGCAGCUCGCUGGGACGUUACUGACGCUGAGACGCGAAAGCGUGGGGAGCAAACAGG
rnacentral:rRNA from 1 species